CAUAAUCGUAUAACAGAAUCCCUUUUCCUUUUUCCGCCCAGUUCCGCUACACGGCCAGAAGUAUUCCAAGCAAAUCCCGGCUGACGUGGCGAAAAAAAAAAAAAAGACGCAAAAAAGGACCAAUUAAUUGAUGCAUUUGACCGCAUGUCAUCCAAUUUUCCCCCAAUUCACCCACCGCCCACAUAGUAGGUUUCACCCAAGGAACUCGAUUGCACUUCCAGCAAUAGUUUUCGACUGCACUUUCCCCCAAGAAUCAAGAUCCCUUCCACACCAGAGUUUAACUAUUUAACUUUCAUGCUGGAAGUCGGUGAAAUUUCUGCCUUAGAUGUUACAAGGCCACCAGCUAAUUCCUGUAUAAUUCUUAUCUUUACAGCAGCACUAUCUUGCAGAUUCUUAAAAAUAGUUUGGAGUUACUGGUCAUCGACUUUGGUGAGUCGAUGGUUCAAUGUUGCCUAGAUGUUGGCCUCAAUGAUGAAGUAGACCUUCGAAUUUCAAUGAAUGUGACGAUAUGCAAGGCAGAAGGCAGCCGAAAGUGGAAUGCAUAGAGGAAGGGUUCCACUUGAUUAGUUAUGAUAUGAACUUUUUUUUAUGUAGGAUUAUGAUGAUAGAAUCUAUUUGAUCUCUGUAUGUAAACUAAUCGAAUGUCAAUGGGUACAUUGCAUAUUUUUUAGCCUUGCA